GUUGAACGCUGGCGGCAGGCCUAACACAUGCCAGUCGAGCGGAUGAAGGGAGCUUGCUCCUGGAUUCAGCGGCGGACGGGUGAGUAAUGCCUAGGAAUCUGCCUGGUAGUGGGGGAUAACGUCCGGAAACGGGCGCUAAUACCGCAUACGUCCUGAGGGAGAAAGUGGGGGAUCUUCGGACCUCACGCUAUCAGAUGAGCCUAGGUCGGAUUAGCUAGUUGGUGGGGUAAAGGCCUACCAAGGCGACGAUCCGUAACUGGUCUGAGAGGAUGAUCAGUCACACUGGAACUGAGACACGGUCCAGACUCCUACGGGAGGCAGCAGUGGGGAAUAUUGGACAAUGGGCGAAAGCCUGAUCCAGCCAUGCCGCGUGUGUGAAGAAGGUCUUCGGAUUGUAAAGCACUUUAAGUUGGGAGGAAGGGCAGUAAGUUAAUACCUUGCUGUUUUGACGUUACCAACAGAAUAAGCACCGGCUAACUUCGUG
rnacentral:rRNA from 1 species